GCCUCCACCUCUUGAGCAUUGGGGUUGCAAGUGUGUACCUCUAUGCCCAGCAUUAUGUAGUGCUAGGAUCAAACCUAGGCUUUAUGAUGCUAGGCAAGCAUAGACUGUUUCCCUAAACAAGAGGGUUUUUUUUUUUCUUAAGAUUUAUUUUACUAUGUAUACAGUGUUCUGCCUGUAUGUAUGGCCUGCAGGCCAGAAGAGAGCACCAGAUCUCAUUAUAGAUGAUUGUGAGCCACCACAUGGUUGUUGGGAAUUGAACUCAGGACCUCUGGAAGAGCAGCCAGUGCUUUUAACCUCUGAGCCAUCUCUCCGGCCCGCUUAAGGCUUUCUUUGAAAGUGCAUUUGUGCGUUUGGAUAUUUGUAACCUGAGUAUCUUUGCACACCUGAUACAAAAUGCUCUAAGUUUUGCUCCUGUGGUCUAAUAAACUGGAAGUAAAUCUAUUCAGUCUCUGGUAGACCUACUUCCUUGUAUUUCAAAUACAGGAACUUGGCUCAUCUUCAUGUAUCCACAAAAUUUCCUUUUUUUUUUUUUUCCCUUUUGAGACAGUUUUGUCAUGGAGGUCAGGGUGGCUUAGAAUGGGCGAUGUAGCCCAGGAUUGCUUCUAAUUCCUCACUUUCCUGCCUUCAUCUCCUGAACGUUGGGACUACAGGAAAUAGCCCUUCAUCUUUGUGUGCAUGCAGCCCUAACUGGAACAAAAUGCAAUCAACAUAUGUACUUAAUUUGACAAGGAGAAAGGGCCAUAAACAAGUGUAAAUUGUCACAACAGCAGCAGCUAACAGCCUUGAUGUCUGCGGUAACAAAGAAGAGAGAGCAGUCUGCUUUGCACAUCAAAGGGGACCGUCACAUCCCUCAACUGAGGAUGCGCAUGAGAUGUGGAAGAGGGUAUCUGAAGCAGGAAUCAUUGCUUCCAGGAGAUGACAUUGAAAUUCCUGCAUCAGUCAAGAGAGUUUGGAGGUCAGUUUUAACUAGCUUUGCUGCCAGGUCUUGGAGGCCUGGAGUGGGGGCCCCUGAACCCCAACUCCCUCCUGCUGAGUGUUUUCUCAAUCCAAGGCCACUCCACUUUCCUCUGUGCAUCAUCCUUUCUCGGAGAUGCAGUUUGUGUGUGACUCUCUAGAUAGCCUUCGUGUGCGUGUGCAUGUGCGUGUGUCUCCUUUGUGUGUAUGCAGGAGGCAUGGGUGUGCACCCAUGGAGGCUAGAGGUCAUUGGAGGGUACCUCCUUCUUUGACUCGCCACUCUUAGUGGUUGAGAUGCCAUCUCGCUGAACCUGGAGCUGACUGAUGGGCUGGACUAGCUGGCCAGGAAGUCCCCUGGGAUCCUCCUUUCUCCAAUCCCAACUCUAGGAUUACAGGUGCAUGUAGCCAUGCCUGCUUUUUUUAUGCGGGCACUGAGACUCAAACUCAGGUCCUCAUGCUUGCCCGAGCAGUUUACCUACUGAACCACCUCCCAGCUCUAAAUAGCUUUCUGACAUCUUUCUUUCUUUCCUU